UACGUAGGGCGCAAGCGUUGUCCGGAAUUAUUGGGCGUAAGGAGCUCGUAGGCGGUUUGUCGCGUCUGCUGUGAAAACCUAAGGCUCAACCUUGGGCUUGCAGUGGGUACGGGCAGACUAGAGUGCGGUAGGGGUGACUGGAAUUCCUGGUGUAGCGGUGGAAUGCGCAGAUAUCAGGAGGAACACCGAUGGCGAAGGCAGGUCACUGGGCCGCAACUGACGCUGAGGAGCGAAAGCAUGGGGAGCGAACAGG
rnacentral:rRNA from 1 species